GACGAACGCUGGCGGCGUGCUUAACACAUGCAAGUCGAACGGGAACCUUUAUUUCGGUAAAGGUGAGAGUGGCAAACGGGUGAGUAACACGUAGGCAACCUGCCGACAGGAUGGGGACAACAUUCCGAAAGGAAUGCUAAUACCGAAUGGAGUCCGGGGAUGGCAUCAUCCUCGGAUAAAAGAUGGCCUCUGAAUAUGCUAUCACCUGUCGAUGGGCCUGCGUCUGAUUAGCCAGUUGGCGGGGUAACGGCCCACCAAAGCGACGAUCAGUAGCCGGUCUGAGAGGAUGAACGGCCACAUUGGGACUGAGACACGGCCCAGACUCCUACGGGAGGCAGCAGUGGGGAAUCUUCCACAAUGGGCGAAAGCCUGAUGGAGCAACGCCGCGUGAGUGAAGAAGGUCUUCGGAUCGUAAAGCUCUGUUGCACGGGACGAAAACCGAGCUUGAGAAUAUU
rnacentral:rRNA from 1 species